ensembl:snRNA U6 U6 spliceosomal RNA
GUGCUCACUUCAGCAGCACAUAUACUAAAAUUGGAAGGACACAGAGAAAAUUAGCACAGCCCUGCACAAGGAUGACAUGCAAAUUCACGAAGUGUUCGAUUUUUUU